rnacentral:lncRNA from 1 species
CACCUGUUUACUUUUCCAUCCCUGCUGGCACUGUUCUUUCCACUUUUAGAUGUUAUUAAGUCAGCACUCUGUACCAAACCACUUUGUGGACUGAACUGGCUCCUCUGCUAUACCUGGCAGAUCUUCCCUGGUGUAAAGUUUAGACAAAAACAGAGUUUUUCAACUGAGAAGACAUCUUUGUAAUGAACUUUAUCAUGAAAAGUACCCUGACAGAUGCAGAUAUUGCAGUUACUUCAUAAGAUUCCAAGCCUAUUCACUAGGACAAAGAGAGUUUUCAGCUAUGGACUGAUUUGUCUACAUGCCUCCGUUUCAUAAAAACUUGAAAUCGAAAAAGUAUUCUGUGGAAAAAUUACCUGCCAAAGAAGAGCUAGAUGAAAUGUUUAAUGCAGCUGCUAUAAAGAACUCAUACUGGAGAAUAAUAGUGACUGAAAUUAAUCCUCUUUCAGUGUUUCCUGUACUGCAAAGUAUUCUUUGCAUUUUCCAAAUGUACUGGAGCCCACACAACAACAAAGGAGUGAUACACUCUUUAAAGGGAAGAUAAGGAAGUAGGCCCUUUUUGGAAAAGUAAGUAGAGGAAUAUUUUCAUGAUGAACUGAGAAAAAAAGAGUAUAGGCAGGGGUACAAAAGCUGAGGCAAAGAAGUAAAUUAAGAUACUGGGAGUAAAUGAGUAGGGAUCAAGAAAUUUAUUGUGAGAGAAAAGGGUGAAAAUUAGAAGAGAAAAAGAGUAAUGGUGAUAAGGAUGAAGCUAUAAAAUUGGUCCCUGUCCUGCAUAUGUGGUGGGAAUUGUGGGGAUGGGUUUUGUCCUUAUAAGAGUAUUUGAACCUCUCCAAGAUUCACAUGGAAGUUGGGAUCUGGGGAUGUGUGGCAUUUAGGAUGAUUUGAGCUCUUCCCAGUGCAGCGUACCCAUUGAAAUUACCUUCACCAUAAUUAAGAGAAUGAUUAGGUAAAAGAAGUACUGAGCCUCAUCUCUAUGUGCACAGGAAGACAGUCAAACUCUAAUGUGACUCUCACAUCAAACCAUUACAGUUUGCACAGGUUGUUUUCCUUUACAUCAUAGGAGAGUAAGGUUUCCUGAUGCCACUGUACUUUCUCAUAACUCUGGCUGGCUGGUGUUUCCAGUGUGAAUCAGCAUGACUGUGAAUUCCUUACUUUCUGUGAGUAUGGCAUAUUCUUCCAUUUGAGUAUAUGCCAGAACAUAGCUAAAAUAUAAAACAAAAUUUUAAGAAGGUAGAAUUUCAAGGAAAGGAUACUGAAGUAACCUGAAUUUAUUUUCCCUGUUAGCCAGCUUCAUUGUGCAUUACCAUUUCAGUGCUCGUGGUUUCCUCAGAUGAGUCAAGUUGUUCUCGGCUUUGAAGAACAGAGUAAUUAUAUUAGUCAGGUCUAAAUAUCAGUUGAGAAGAAAAGGUAGAUAAAUUGUCAAUAUAAUAAAAGAUGAAAUUAAUUGCUGACA